GGUCAAGCUACAAAAGGCGAGUGGUGGAUACCUAGGCACACAGAGGCGAAG
rnacentral:rRNA from 3 species